rnacentral:rRNA from 1 species
GAAUUCGCCCUUAGAGUUUGAUCCUGGCUCAGAACGAACGCUGGCGGCAGGCCUAACACAUGCAAGUCGAGCGCACUCUUCGGAGUGAGCGGCGGACGGGUUAGUAACGCGUGGGAAUAUACCCUUUUCUACGGAAUAGCCUCGGGAAACUGAGAGUAAUACCGUAUACGCCCUUCGGGGGAAAGAUUUAUCGGUGAAGGAUUAGCCCGCGUAAGAUUAGAUAGUUGGUGGGGUAAUGGCCUACCAAGUCUACGAUCUUUAGCUGGUUUGAGAGGAUGAUCAGCAACACUGGGACUGAGACACGGCCCAGACUCCUACGGGAGGCAGCAGUGGGGAAUCUUAGACAAUGGGCGCAAGCCUGAUCUAGCCAUGCCGCGUGAGUGACGAAGGCCUUAGGGUCGUAAAGCUCUUUCGCCAGAGAUGAUAAUGACAGUAUCUGGUAAAGAAACCCCGGCUAACUCCGUGCCAGCAGCCGCGGUAAUAAGGGCG